rnacentral:misc_RNA from 1 species
GAUGAAGAACGCAGCGAAAUGCGAUAAGUAGUGUGAAUUGCAGAAUUCAGUGAAUCAUCGAAUCUUUGAACGCACAUUGCGCCCCUUGGUAUUCCAUGGGGCAUGCCUGUUCGAGCGUCAUUUGUACCUUCAAGCUUUGCUUGGUGUUGGGUGUUUGUCUCGCCUCCGCGUGUAGACUCGCCUCAAAACAAUUGGCAGCCGGCGUAUUGAUUUCGGAGCGCAGUACAUCUCGCGCCUUGCACUCACAACGACGACGUCCAAAAGUACAUUUUUACACUCUUGACCUCGGAUCAGGUAGGGAUACCCGCUGAACUUAAGCAUAUCAAUAAGCGGAGGA